UUUUUUUCUUCCUUAUUUUGGCGGACUCCUCCCUUAAGCCAAUUUCACUCCCAUAUCCCCUUCAUUCAUUGUUCUCUCUUAGUGAAACUUCCACCAAUUUUCUAUUUCACACCAGCCAAAAUACUCAAAAUCUGAAAUUCAUUGUGCCUCACACUAUUUUUGCCGCUGCGCCGUCUUCAUCGCCGAGCCGCUGCGCUGUCAACAUCCUGUUCAAUGCUUCAGUCGCCGCUGCACCUACUACCCAUAACCUAGGCAUCGAUUUUGCGCGUUGUGCGGCGCUGUCACUAGUGUUCUCGCUCCAAUCGAAAGCCCCAUAGAAGAAGUCUAGGUUUUAAACUAAAGUACCCGAACAAGGGAAUCAAAAUUCUAAACAAGAUUCAUCUGGUUGCUCUGCAAUUUCAGACAGUCUUGGAUGAAGAUGAAAAUUGAUGCAGGAACAAGAUCAGAGGAUCUUCAUGGAGGUGUUAGUUUUACAUUUUGUUUUCUGAUAGAAGAUAAUAAACUUUGUGACUUUAAUUUUUCUUGUUGAUGUUGGACAUGAAUAAUAGGACUUUUGAUUCAUAUCGAGUUGCCAUUUGGAUUGUUUAGUUAUUGAAAUGUUGAUGAUACUAUUUAUUGAUAUAUCAAAAAACGAUGUUAUGAUUGUAUUUGUAAAGUAAA